UGGGGAAUAUUGGACAAUGGGGGCAACCCUGAUCCAGCCAUGCCGCGUGAGUGAUGAAGGCCUUAGGGUUGUAAAGCUCUUUCGCACGCGACGAUGAUGACGGUAGCGUGAGAAGAAGCCCCGGCUAACUUCGUGCCAGCAGCCGCGGUAAUACGAAGGGGGCUAGCGUUGUUCGGAAUUACUGGGCGUAAAGGGCGCGUAGGCGGCGCACCAAGUCAGAUGCGAAAGCCCCGGGCUUAACCUGGGAACAGCAUUUGAGACUGAUGUGCUUGAGGUCCGGAGAGGUGGGUGGAAUUCCCAGUGUAGAGGUGAAAUUCGUAGAUAUUGGGAAGAACACCGGUGGCGAAGGCGGCCCAACUGGACGGAAGCCUGACGCUGAGGCGCGAAAGCGUGGGGAGCAAACAAGAUUNGAUACCCUGGUAGUCCACGCCGUAAACGAUGUCGGCUAGACGUUGGGGCUCUUAGAGCUUCAGUGUCGCAGCUAACGCAUUAAGCCGACCGCCUGGGGAGUACGGCCGCAAGGUUGAAACUUAAAUG
rnacentral:rRNA from 1 species